rnacentral:rRNA from 1 species
UACGAAGGGGGCUAGCGUUGCUCGGAAUCACUGGGCGUAAAGCGCACGUAGGCGGAUCUUUAAGUCAGGGGUGAAAUCCUGGAGCUCAACUCCAGAACUGCCUUUGAUACUGAGAGUCUUGAGUUCGGGAGAGGUGAGUGGAACUGCGAGUGUAGAGGUGAAAUUCGUAGAUAUUCGCAAGAACACCAGUGGCGAAGGCGGCUCACUGGCCCGAUACUGACGCUGAAGCACGAAAGCGUGGGGA